UACGAAGGGUGCAAGCGUUACUCGGAAUUACUGGGCGUAAAGGGUGCGUAGGUGGUUGUUUAAGUCUGUUGUGAAAGCCCCGGGCUCAACCUGGGAAUGGCAAUGGAUACUGGACAGCUAGAGUGCGGUAGAGGGUAGUGGAAUUCCCGGUGUAGCAGUGAAAUGCGUAGAGAUCGGGAGGAACACCAGUGGCGAAGGCGGCUACCUGGACCAGCACUGACACUGAAGCACGAAAAGCGUGGGGGAGCAAACAGGG
rnacentral:rRNA from 1 species